UACGGGGGGUGCGAGCGUUGUCCGGAAUCACUGGGCGUAAAGGGCGCGUAGGUGGUCUGAUAAGGGUGUGGUGAAAGCCCGGGGCUCAACCCCGGGUCGGCCGUGCCGACUGUUAGACUAGAGUGCUGUAGGGGCAGGCGGAAUUCCGGGUGUAGCGGUGGAAUGCGUAGAGAUCCGGAGGAAGACCGGUGGCGAAGGCGGCCUGCUGGGCAGUUACUGACACUGAGGCGCGACAGCGUGGGGAGCAAACAGG
rnacentral:rRNA from 1 species